rnacentral:rRNA from 1 species
ACGGGUGAGUAACACGUGGGUAACCUGCCCAUUAGAGGGGGAUAACAUUCGGAAACGGAUGCUAAUACCGCAUAGUUUCAGGAAUCGCAUGAUUCUUGAAGGAAAGGUGGCUUCGGCUACCACUAAUGGAUGGACCCGCGGCGUAUUAGCUAGUUGGUGAGGUAAUGGCUCACCAAGGCAAUGAUACGUAGCCGACCUGAGAGGGUGAUCGGCCACACUGGGACUGAGACACGGCCCAGACUCCUACGGGAGGCAGCAGUAGGGAAUCUUCCGCAAUGGACGAAAGUCUGACGGAGCAACGCCGCGUGAGUGAAGAAGGUUUUCGGAUCGUAAAACUCUGUUGUUAAAGAAGAACAAGGAUGAGAGUAACUGCUCAUCCCCUGACGGUAUUUAACCAGAAAGCCACGGCUAACUACGUGCCAGCAGCCGCGGUAAUACGUAGGUGGCAAGCGUUGUCCGGAUUUAUUGGGCGUAAAGCGAGCGCAGGCGGUUCUUUAAGUCUGAUGUGAAAGCCCCCGGCUCAACCGGGGAGGGUCAUUGGAAACUGGAGAACUUGAGUGCAGAAGAGGAGAGUG